CUUCCGUAGGUGAACCUGCGGAAGGAUCAUUACCGAGUGCGGGUUCUCACGAGCCCAACCUCCCACCCGUGUUUACCGUUACCGCGUUGCCUCGGCGGGCCCACUGGGGCCUGGCCCCGGUCGCCGGGGGGCUUCUGCCCCCGGGCCCGCGCCCGCCGACGCACCCUAGAACCCUGCCUGAAUAGUGAGUCUGAGUGAGAUUUGAAAUCAUUAAAACUUUCAACAACGGAUCUCUUGGUUCCGGCAUCGAUGAAGAACGCAGCGAAAUGCGAUAAGUAAUGUGAAUUGCAGAAUUCCGUGAAUCAUCGAAUCUUUGAACGCACAUUGCGCCCCCUGGCAUUCCGGGGGGCAUGCCUGUCCGAGCGUCAUUUCUGCCCUCCAGCACGGCUGGGUGUUGGGCGCUGUCCCCCCGGGGACACGCCCCAAAAGCAGUGGCGGCGCCGCGUCGGGUCCUCGAGCGUAUGGGGCUUUGUCACCCGCUCGGGAGGGACUCGGUCGGCGCUGGUCUUCCCUUUAGGCCGCCCUUCGGGGUGCGCCUCUUCCGGUUGACCUCGGAUCAGGUAGGGCUACCCGCUGAACUUAAGCAUAUCAAUAAGCGGAGGAUCAUUACCGAGUGCGGGUUCUCACGAGAGCCCAACCUCCACCGUGUUUACGUUUACGUUUACCG
rnacentral:rRNA from 1 species